GAUGAACGCUGGCGGCGUGCUUAACACAUGCAAGUCGAACGGUGAAGCAGGAGCUUGCUCCUGUGGAUCAGUGGCGAACGGGUGAGUAACACGUGAGCAAUCUGCCCUGGACUCUGGGAUAAGCGUUGGAAACGACGUCUAAUACCGGAUACGAGGCGUGGGGGCAUCCCCAACGCCUGGAAAGAACUUCGGUCCAGGAUGAGGUCGCGGCCUAUCAGGUAGUUGGUGAGGUAACGGCUCACCAAGCCUACGACGGGUAGCCGGCCUGAGAGGGUGACCGGCAACACUGGGACUGAGACACGGCCCAGACUCCUACGGGAGGCAGCAGUGGGGAAUAUUGCACAAUGGGCGCAAGCCUGAUGCAGCAACGCCGCGUGAGGGACGACGGCCUUCGGGUUGUAAACCUCUUUUAGCAGGGAAGAAGCGAAAGUGACGGUACCUGCAGAAAAAGCACCGGCUAACUACGUGCCAGCCGCCGCCGUAAGAC
rnacentral:rRNA from 1 species